GUGUAUAUCGACACUGAUAAAGUCAAGUUUUUGGAGUUGUUUAUGUAUCAAAGUUGAAACUUUGUUAAUGAUUUUAUGAACCAUCUUUGAAAAAUAAAAUUUCAUCAGGGUGAUAAAGUCAGAGUAGUACAGACUCUACUGUUUGUUGAAGGAAUUAACACACUUCUUCAAACUCUCUUUGGAACCAGACUGCCUACUGUUAUUGGAGGGUCUUAUGCAUUCAUGGUCCCUAUUAUAUCUAUCAUUCAUGAUUCCUCAUUGGCUAGUAUUGAGGACCCUCAUAUCAGAUUUCUCAACACCAUGAGAGCAGUCCAAGGUGCUUUGAUAGUAGCAUCAAGCAUACAGAUUAUCCUAGGAUACAGUCAAAUUUGGGCCAUCUGUUCCUGGCGGUGUGUUUUGCUUUAAUGGGCAUUGGCAGCUCAUUUCAUGCUCAAGAAACUGUUGUGAGUGGGUAAUUGGAGAGUUGAGUGUGGUAAAUACUGUUCUUUUCCUGUGUUAUGU